rnacentral:lncRNA from 1 species
GUUUGAGGGCCAGAAUCUAAUUUUUGGAGCUUUUUCUAAUGCCGGGAGCUGACUGAGUGAUAAAAUGCAUAUUAAGAAUAAGGCGGCCUUCUGGCCCCUCUGGGUCUAGGGCAGUAAAGCAUCUAAGGGUUUCUGCUAAUGGGCCAGGAACUGCGCUGGGUUUUUAUAUUUGAUGAAAAAGAGCCUAAAUGCUAGCUGAUUUGGAAGAGGUCGGAUAAAGAAAAAAGAAGCAUUAAUCUUGACUAUGCCUUUAGCUCCAGCCACCUCUUUAAGAGGAAAUUGUUGGGCAGGUGGGGGAGGGCUAGUCGUGGAACGAAACCAUAAGCCAGGCCAGGUGUGAGGAGGGGAGGUGAUAAAAGGAUUAUAGGGAGGGGGAACAGAGGCUGAGGAAAAAUUGGGACCUGGCUUGGCCUGGCAAGGAGCAGCCUGGGGAAGAGGGGAGAGGUCAGAUGGGUCCGUAGAAAAGGAAGAUUCAAAAGACUCAGAGACGUUUGGGGUUGGGACUGAAGGAACAGACAGGAGAGAAAGAAAGAUUUGGGAUGAGUCUCACUGGGAGCAGAGACUAGGGAGGGACCAAUCUGUAAAAGAAUGCUUGGAUGUCAGCCACCUCAGACCAUUUGCCCAUUUUUUGACAAAAAUUAUCUAGGUCUCGUAGGAUGGAGAAAUCAAAAGUGCUGUUUUCUGGCCAUUUAGAACCAUUGUUGAGUUUGUAUUGGGGCCAAGCGGUGUUGCAGAAGAAAAUAAGGUGCUUAGAUUUUGGGUCAGGCGAGAGUCAAAGAGGUUUUAAGUUCUUGAGAACACAGGCUAAGGGAGAAGAAGGAGGAAUGGAGGGUGGAAGGUUGCUCAUAGUGAAGGAGGCAAGUUUAAAGAGAAGGGUAGAGACACGGAGAAGGGGGGUGGGGAAAAGCCCUGGGCAGCAACGUGGGUGAGCAGCCAAAGCAAGUGUCCCCGCAACUGACUUGCCACCAAGGGAAUGUGGGUGAAUGACCAAGGCAGGCAUCCCCGCCGAGAUCAGACACCAAUGGAACGUGGGUGAAUACUCAGAGAGGCGUCCCCGCAAUGAUUAAACACCAAGGGAAGGCUGCCUCCCCAAGUCCCUGACUGGCCCUGGAGUUUUGGGUCGGCACCAAAUGUCUCACGUGUCCGUGUGAAGAGACCACCAAACAGGCUUUGUGUGAGCAACAAGGCUGUUUAUUUCACCUGGGUGCAGGCGGGCUGAGUCUGAAAAAGAGAGCAAAGGGUGGUGGAAUUAUCAUUGGUUCUUAUAGGUUUUGGGAUAGGCAGUGGAGUUAAGAGCAAUGUUUUGGGGGCAGGGGGUGGAUAUCACAAAGUACAUUCUCAAGGGUGGGGAGAACUACCAAGAAACUUCUUAAGGGUGGGGGAGAUUAUAAAGAACCUUCUUAAAGGUGGGGGAGGUUACAAAGUACACUGAUCAGUUAGGGUGGGGCAGAAACAAAUCACAAUGGUGGAAUGUCAAUCAGCUAAGGCUAUUUUCACUUCUGUGGAUCUUCAGUUGCUUCAGGCCAUCUGGAUGUAUAUGUGCAGGUCACUGGGGAUAUGAUGGCUUAGCUUGGGCUCAGAGGCCUGACAGUUGUAGAUGUGUGGUGUUAUUUCUGAGGUCUCUCUUCUGUUCCAUUGGUCUAUAUCUCUGUUUUGGUACCAGUACCAUGCUGUUAUCAUUACUGUAGACUUGUAGUAUAGUUUGAAGUCAGGUAGUGUGAUGCCUCCAGCUUUGUUCUUUUGGCUUAGGAUUGUCUUGGCAAUGCAGGCUCGUGUUUGGUUCUAUAUGCAAUUUAAAGUAGUUUUUUCCAAUUCUGUGAAGAAAGUCAUAUUGGUAGCUUGAUGGGGAUGGCAUUGAAUCUAUAAAUUACCUUGGGCAGCAUGGCCAUUUUCACGAUAUUGAUUCUUCUUAUCCAUGAGCAUGGAAGGUUCUUCCAUUUAUUUGUGUCCUCUUUUAUUUCACUGAGCAGUGGUUUGUAGUUCUCCUUGAAGAGGUCCUUCAAAUCCCUUGUAAGUUGGAUUCCUAGGUAUUUUAUUCUCUUUGAAGCAAUUGUGAAUGGGAGUUCACUCAUGAUUUGGCUCUCUGUUUGUCUGUUAUUCGUGUAUAGGAAUGCUUGUGAUUUUGGCACAUUGAUUUUGUAUCCUGAGACUUUGCUGAAGUUGCUUAUCAGCUUAAGGAGUUUUUGGGCUGAGACAAUGGGGUUUUCUAAAUAUACAAUCAUGUCAUCUGCAAACAGGCAUUCUUUAUCACACGAUGAGAUAGGAGGUUGACACAAAGACCCUGCUGAUAAAACAGAAUGUGGUAAAGAAGUCAAACAAAAUCCACCAAAACCAAGAUGGUACUUAAAGUGACCUCCGGUCGUCCUCACUGCUCAUUACAUGCUAAUUAUAAUUCAUUAGCAUGCUAACAGAUACUCCUACCAGUGCCAAAACAGUUUACAAAUGCCAUAGGGACAUCCGAAAGUUACCCUAAAUGGCCUAAAAGGGGGAGUCGCCCUCUGUUCUGGGAAAUCCUUGUCCCUUCCCUGGAAAACUGAUGACUAAUUCACUCCUUGUUUAGCAUACGAUCGAGAAAUAACCAUAAAAGUAGCCAGCCGGCAGGGCUGCUGUCAAUGGAGUAGCCAUUCUUUUAUUUCUUUACUUCUCUAAUAAACUUUAACUUUACUCUGUGGACUUGCCCUGAAUUCUUUCUUGUGCAAGAUCCAGGAACCUUCUCUGGGGGUCUGGAUUGGGACCCCUUUCCAGUAACCAAAGUGACAAGUGUUUAUUGUAUUUUUUAUUUCAUUUCCAAGGAUACUAUUCCAUCUGGUGGGAGAGUGCCAAUGUACGUUUCUUCAUUUACUUAGUACGUUCUGCAUGGAGAACUAAGUUAACUGUCACCCAAUUUUUAGUUAAUUCCAGUGAUCUUUUAGUAGCCCUAUUUGGGGUGAUCUUAACUCCAGCUGUGGCCCUAGGCCACAGAAAUUUUCAUUUUGAAACUUUGGUGUAUAUUCUUUUAGCUUUGUGUGUGUGUGUGUGUACACACACACGUGUAUAUAUAUAUAUGUAUACGUAUAUAGGUAUGUAUAUAUAAAAUAAAUAAACACAAAAAGGAUAAUGUUGUA